AGAGUUUGAUCCUGGCUCAGGACGAACGCUGGCGGCGUGCCUAACACAUGCAAGUCGAACGAAGUAUGUUUUUCGGAAUAUGCUUAGUGGCGGACGGGUGAGUAACGCGUGAACAAUCUGCCCCGUACAAAGGAAUAGCCUCGGGAAACCGGGAUUAAAACCAUAUAACACUUUAGUACCGCAUGGUACAGAAGUCAAAUUGGUUAGAGGUAUGGGAUGAGUUCGCGUCUGAUUAGCUAGUUGGUAAGGUAACGGCUUACCAAGGCGACGAUCAGUAGCCGGCCUGAGAGGGUGAACGGCCACACUGGAACUGAGACACGGUCCAGACUCCUACGGGAGGCAGCAGUGGGGAAUAUUGCACAAUGGAGGAAACUCUGAUGCAGCGACGCCGCGUGAGUGAAGAAGGUCUUCGGAUCGUAAAACUCUGUCCUUGGUGAAGAAAAGGACGGUAGCCAAGGAGGAAGCCCCGGCUAACUACGUGCCAGCAGCCGCGGUAAUACGUAGGGGGCGAGCGUUGUCCGGAUUUACUGGGCGUAAAGGGUGAGUAGGCGGUUGUAUAUGUCAGGUGUAAAAGGCUAUGGCUUAACCAUGGUUAGCACUUGAAACUGUGCAACUUGAGUGCAGGAGAGGUAAGCGGAAUUCCUAGUGUAGCGGUGAAAUGCGUAGAUAUUAGGAGGAACACCAGUGGCGAAGGCGGCUUACUGGACUGUAACUGACGCUGAGUCACGAAAGCGUGGGUAGCAAACAGGAUUAGAUACCCUGGUAGUCCACGCUGUAAACGAUGAGUGCUAGGUGU
rnacentral:rRNA from 1 species